rnacentral:rRNA from 1 species
UACGUAGGUGGCAAGCGUUGUCCGGAUUUAUUGGGUUUAAAGGGUGCGUAGGCGGCAUUUUAAGUCAGUGGUGAAAUCCUUCAGCUUAACUGGAGAGGUGCCAUUGAUACUGGGAUGCUUGAGUACUGAUGAGGUAGGCGGAAUGGACGGUGUAGCGGUGAAAUGCUUAGAUAUCGUCCAGAACACCGAUAGCGAAGGCAGCUUACUAAGGAGUAACUGACGCUGAGGCACGAAAGUGUGGGGAUCAAACAGG